rnacentral:rRNA from 1 species
UAUGUGAUCGUCUCUCGCAUAUCAAUAAGCGGAGGAAAAGAAACUAACAAGGAUUCCCCUAGUAACGGCGAGUGAAGCGGGAAGAGCUCAAAUUUGAAAUCUUAAAGGGUUUCCCUUUACGAAUUGUAGUUUAAAGAAGUGUUUUCUGUUGAGGUUUUGGUAAAAGUUCUUUGGAAUAGGACAUCAUAGAGGGUGAGAAUCCCGUAUUUGACCUUUACUUUCAACUUUGUGAUACACUUUCAAAGAGUCGGAUUGUUUGGGAAUGCAGUCCAAAAUGGGUGGUAAAUUUCAUCUAAAGCUAAAUAUUGGCGAGAGACCGAUAGCGAACAAGUACCGUGAGGGAAAGAUGAAAAGAACUUUGAAAAGAGAGUUAAACAGUACGUGAAAUUGUCAAAAGGGAAGCGUUUGACACCAGUGUCGUUUUUCUGAAAAUCAAUUAAAGAACUGUUUAUGCUAAGCUGUUUAGACUUUAUCAGCUAUCUGUUUAGUUUUGAGCUUUUCUUUAAUGCACUUUUCAGUUAACAAGUCAACAUCAAUUUCUUUUGCUGUAAAAAAGCUUGAGGAAGGUGGCUUGAGAUUCGUCUUAAGUGUUUAUAGCCUCUUGCCUAUGCAGUCGGAGAGAUUGAGGUCUGCAGCGUAGAUCCUUCGGGGCUAAAUGCAUUUGUGCUAAGUUAUAGCAUUUUAUAGACAACUUGUUGACUAUGAUUUGUCUUGUAGCUUACAUCGCUUAUGUUAUUUUACCUACGCUUAGGAUGUUGAUCUACAGAGCGAGAGU